rnacentral:snoRNA from 1 species
CAGGUCACUGCACCUGACCAGUUCUCUGUUGGCUAAUGCAGUUCAGUGUUGAGAUGAUAAUAAAUCCAACUUUUAGGAAAUAGGGUUAUUCUUCCUGUGGAUGAUUCUGUGCCAAAAGCAUGGGCACAGCC